GUGGUGGCUGUAAUUACAAUAAAAAAAAUGACUUUUAGCGAUGACUAUUAGCGACGGUAAAAUUACCGUCGCUAGCUAAUAAUAGUUUUUACCGACCAUCAAUCACAAUCAAAAAAUAAGCCGUCGUAAAACAAAAUUAUUUAUUAAACUUAUUAGUGACAGUGAAUAUAGUGUUCGUGAUGGAAAGUACCAUCGCUAAUAUUCAUCAAUGAUGGUAGUAUCAGUAAUAGAAAAAGCCAUCAUUAAUAACUUGAUUUUCCCUCUCCUGUCCUCGAUUUUGGCUUCCCCGCUAAAACCCUCAUU
rnacentral:lncRNA from 1 species